AACGCACGAGACCUGCGGACCUGCGGAAGGAUCAUUAAUGAGAAACUGCCCCUCGCGGGUAGAUCUCCCACCCUUUGUAAACUUACCUUUGUUGCUUUGGCAGGCCCGUCUCCGGACCGCCGGCUUCGGCUGGCCAGUGCCUGCCAGAGGAUUCUAAAACUCUGUCUGUCAGUGUUGUCCGAGUCUAUAUACAAUCGUUAAAACUUUCAACAACGGAUCUCUAGAUCGGAAGAGCACACG
rnacentral:misc_RNA from 1 species